rnacentral:rRNA from 1 species
CCAAGUCGAGCGGACAGAUGGGAGCUUGCUCCCUGAUGUUAGCGGCGGACGGGUGAGUAACACGUGGGUAACCUGCCUGUAAGACUGGGAUAACUCCGGGAAACCGGGGCUAAUACCGGAUGGUUGUUUGAACCGCAUGGUUCAGACAUAAAAGGUGGCUUCGGCUACCACUUACAGAUGGACCCGCGGCGCAUUAGCUAGUUGGUGAGGUAACGGCUCACCAAGGCRACGAUGCGUAGCCGACCUGAGAGGGUGAUCGGCCACACUGGGACUGAGACACGGCCCAGACUCCUACGGGAGGCAGCAGUAGGGAAUCUUCCGCAAUGGACGAAAGUCUGACGGAGCAACGCCGCGUGAGUGAUGAAGGUUUUCGGAUCGUAAAGCUCUGUUGUUAGGGAAGAACAAGUGCCGUUCAAAUAGGGCGGCACCUUGACGGUACCUAACCAGAAAGCCACGGCUAACUACGUGCCAGCAGCCGCGGUAAUACGUAGGUGGCAAGCGUUGUCCGGAAUUAUUGGGCGUAAAGGGCUCGCAGGCGGUUUCUUAAGUCUGAUGUGAAAGCCCCCGGCUCAACCGGGGAGGGUCAUUGGAAACUGGGGAACUUGAGUGCAGAAGAGGAGAGUGGAAUUCCACGUGUAGCGGUGAAAUGCGUAGAGAUGUGGAGGAACACCAGUGGCGAAGGCGACUCUCUGGUCUGUAACUGACGCUGAGGAGCGAAAGCGUGGGGAGCGAACAGGAUUAGAUACCCUGGUAGUCCACGCCGUAAACGAUGAGUGCUAAGUGUUAGGGGGUUUCCGCCCCUUAGUGCUGCAGCUAACGCAUUAAGCACUCCGCCUGGGGAGUACGGUCGCAAGACUGAAACUCAAAGGAAUUGACGGGGGCCCGCACAAGCGGUGGAGCAUGUGGUUUAAUUCGAAGCAACGCGAAGAACCUUACCAGGUCUUGACAUCCUCUGACAAUCCUAGAGAUAGGACGUCCCCUUCGGGGGCAGAGUGACAGGUGGUGCAUGGUUGUCGUCNGCUCGUGUCGUGAGAUGUUGGGUUAAGUCCCGCAACGAGCGCAACCCUUGAUCUUAGUUGCCAGCAUUCAGUUGGGCACUCUAAGGUGACUGCCGGUGACAAACCGGAGGAAGGUGGGGAUGACGUCAAAUCAUCAUGCCCCUUAUGACCUGGGCUACACACGUGCUACAAUGGRCAGAACAAAGGGCAGCGAAACCGCGAGGUUAAGCCAAUCCCACAAAUCUGUUCUCAGUUCGGAUCGCAGUCUGCAACUCGACUGCGUGAAGCUGGAAUCGCUAGUAAUCGCGGAUCAGCAUGCNGCGGUGAAUACGUUCCCGGGCCUUGUACAACUACCC